CGCUGGCGGCGUGCCUAACACAUGCAAGUCGAGCGGGGAUUACGGAAGAGUUUACUUGGAAGUAAUUCUAGCGGCGGACGGGUGAGUAACGCGUGAGCAACCUGCCUUCAACAGGGGGAUAACGCUUCGAAAGAAGUGCUAAUACCGCGUAAGACCACGAGGUCACAUGGCCAUGGGGUCAAAGGAGCAAUCCGGUUGAAGAUGGGCUCGCGUCCGAUUAGCUAGUUGGUGAGACAACAGCCCACCAAGGCGACGAUCGGUAGCCGACCUGAGAGGGUGAUCGGCCACAUUUGGAACUGAGAAACGGUCCAGACUCCUACGGGAGGCAGCAGUGGGGAAUAUUGGGCAAUGGGCGAAAGCCUGACCCAGCAACGCCGCGUGAGGGAAGAAGGGUUUCGGCUCGUAAACCUCUGUCCUGAAGGGCGAAGACAGUGACGGUACUUCAGGAGGAAGCCCGGCUAACUACGUGCC
rnacentral:rRNA from 1 species